GGGUCGUUAGCUCAGUCGGUAGAGCAGCUGACUUUUAAUCAGCGGGUCGCAGGUUCGAGCCCUGCACGACCCACCA
rnacentral:tRNA from 1 species